GGUGAUGUACCGCACGAUCACUAUUAUUAUCAGUUUUCUCUUAGCUGAGAUUUAUUAAAACUUCUUCUAUACUUCUUUUACAAUUGUCAUGAGUACUGACAAGACGAACUGGUAAAACAGGGCUGAUCAGCUCGAGUGGAUGUUGGGGUAAGUUUGUUCGUUGUCGUAGUGGAUGGUUUUAGAGAGAGAUGGAGAGAGGGACUUUAAAACACUCGAGAUCAUGUUAGAGGUCCAUGUAUGCUCUACGCGGCAGAGCAGCAGGACGAGGAAUGACAGAACGAGGGGGUACUUUUGUCGACGAGGCGGCGGCGUCGAAGGCCGCCGCCAUAGGUCACGUCGGCGGCCACGCCGUCGUGGUGGCAGGGAAUGGGAAAACCGAAGAGGGGGCCGACGGGGUAGGGCGACAGGACGCUGCGGUCGUAUAGGUGCGGCUAGGAGCCAGCGUCGCCGUGCUGGUAGGUGAGAAAGUUGAGGUGGUGGAGCUGGUAGCAGCAGAGGGAGGGCGGUAGCACGUGAGCGUCGCAGGGGCUGCGGUUCUUCCGCGAGAGGCCGCGGUUGAUGCCGCAGAGCAGGGUGUGGCCAGACAAGGAGGCGCCGCCGACGGCGCUCUAGUUGCGCAGCCCGCGGCUUACGUCGCACGGGCGCUCGCAGUACAGGUCCGAAGAGGCGUGUCGCGUCACACAGCCGUUGCUGUGGAGGCACUGCACGAAACGGAGAAGAGGCUACUUGUCGUGCCGCCACCGCCGCGGGCGCGGGCGCGGCCGUGGCCGGAACUUCAGGCGAAUAGGGUUGGUCAAGAACUCGACCCUCUUUCACCUCCGGAAAGCCACGCCGCUGCGCGACUGCCGCCGCGACAUACCCCUGUGCCUGUGCCAUGACAGCGACCUCAAGCCGCACCGCCUCGACCCGACCACCCAGUUACCCUGCACGCGGCCGUCGCCGCUCGAAACGCGCCGCUUGCGCUGAACGUGGCUGCAUCUGUGCGGCUCGCCCUUCUUUCCUGUGGCCACGCGUACGGUCCGCCCCUACUUGCCGCUACCGAAGAACCGGCCGCUGCCUACGGUGAUGGAUCGAUUCGCCCCAAAGUUCUUCUUGCACCGAAAGUAGCGACGUCCACACCACCACCCGCACCGCCGCCGCCGGCCGCACGAGGACGACGAUACGACCCGUGCUGCGGCCGCGAGACAGCCGUUCCCCGCCGUCCCGAGUUCGGCCGAGCGCCGCUACGCCGACGACAGCCUCCGCCGCUGCAGCUCGCCGCACGGCCACAUGAGCAUGUUGCUCCACCGCGCGCGCUGGUUGAGGAAGAGGCUGUGCGUGGCGGAGCCGUGCCCGCGGAUGCCGUGCCAGAUGCAGCCGGCCGAGGGCCGCUUGAGCUGCCGCGAGCACCGGUAGUUCGCGGAGGCCACGGCGGAGCUGCUGGUGCUGCUGCCGCCGCCGUCCCGCCACCGCGACGAGGAGUUGCUCUAGUCCGAGUAGAGGAGCGAGUCGGUGGGGUUGGACCAGGCGGAGGAGCCGACGACGGAGCUGGCGCCGCUCGUCUAGGAGCAGAUGCUCGAGCACGGGUUGCCGUGGGAGAGGGUGGUGGAGGUGCCGUUGCCGCUGCCGCUGAGGUGCGACGGCACCGCGCGCGCCGAGCCGCAGCGCCGCCCGUGCCGCCGGCGGUAGCGCAUGGACGUGCGGCGCGCGGGCGGGUAGAAGGUGGCGCUGCAGUUCAGGCCGUUGUAGGAGGAGCCGCGACUGGAGGCGCGGUUCGAGCGGCUGAAGCCGGAGAGGGCGCGGCGGGCCCCGCGGCUCCUGCGCAGCGCGAGCGUGCAGAGGUGGCGCGGCGUCCCGUGCGGCCCCAUGCAGCUGGGCCUCAUGGUGGUCUCGAAGGUGGAGAGGCUGUUCUCGCUGCAGAUGUCGAAGCCGCAGCACGACGAGCUCGAGUAGUGGCGGUACUUCCAGCAGCUGAAGCGGGCCGGCCGGUUGCUCCAGUUGGACCGUACGGAGCGCGAGCUGGCCUAGCCGUUCCCCUCUCAGCUCCUCUAGCAGCUGGGCCGCGAGGAGGCGGUGCCGCUCCUCACCCAGUACCUCAGCCAGGCCGUGCAGUCGCUCGAGCGGAAGGUCACGGACCGCAAGCUGUUCCUGCAGGCCGGCAGGUACUCGCUCCACCGGCGGCUCGACACGGCCUAGUCCCUGCGGCGGGGUCUGAGGCCGUACUGCCUGGAGCAGCGGCUGCACCCUGAGUUACCUGGUCUGUGGUGGUGCCGUUUCUUUCGGGCCAGCGGCCACAGCCACGUCCUCCAAACCCAGUCGCUGGCCUCGAGCGUUAGCUGGUUGCCGAGGUACGGUGCGAAAGGUAUCGGUUCAAUAUAGGGUGCACGUGGGUUGUAUCUACUUUUACAUUGAAUUUUUGUUAAAAACCCCCACUUCAAAAGGUACCACUUCUAACAACAUGGACAUGUCAGCGUGUGUACAUAAUGGUCGUGUUCUUGUUGAGUGUCCAAGCUUCCCCUUUGUCGUGGUAUCUUUAGUCGUUGAAUCCAAACUGGUUGCGCUGUUCUAACGGUGUUCUCGUGUUUGAAACCAAACUAGUAGUAGCGUUGUUCUAGUCGUGUUCUCGUGUCUGUCUCAACAAGGGUAGGCUUGGUAUAAGCGGCGUCGUAACCUUUAUGGGUCGUUAUGAAAAUGUUCACUUAGUAUAAGCGGCGUCGUAACCCUUAUGGGUUGUCAAAAUGUUCGAUGUCUUAGCGUGUUGAAUAGGCCUGAAGCAAAGGAGGUGGUUGGCGCGGCCCGGUGUAUCUCGAAUAGGUGUGAAAACAACAAGGAUAUUUACGACUUGGGUACCUCUCGCUUUCUCCGUGUGAUCGAUCGGGUCUUGUCGUGUGACGUGAACGGUUGUCCCCGAGUCGCUAAGUAGACUUCUUCUUCUUCUUAUGUCCUACACGAUGUUCCACCUCACGCUGUUUACGCCGUUCUAGUGGACCUUCCCCACGCCGUUCGUACAGCGCAGGCAGAUGCUUCUGUAGCUCUUUCCUUUCGUGACGUGGACGUUCCGCACCGGCCCACAACUGUGCCUUCCCAGCAGGAGCUUGUGGUUUCUUCCACCUCCUUUUCGAACUCAAGAACGUGUUCCUAGUGAUCAAAACGUUGAUGACCUGACUUCCUCUGACGUCAAAACUUAUUUUCGAACGGAGACGAUAGACGAGACAUAAACAAAGACCGAAGAAGCGACUUCAGUGAAAACUACCAUAUUAUUUUGUAAGACGUCAACUAACUAACAGAAUAGAUCGAUUUCUACGUUUAGUCCCGAUCCAA
rnacentral:rRNA from 1 species